GGCCGCGUGGCCUAAUGGCUAAGGCGCUAGAUUUCGGUCUCCUACCCCGGCCCUCUAGAGAUUCCAGGUUCGACUCCUGGCGCGGUCG